GCUUAACACAUGCAAGUCGAACGGAAAGGCUCCUGCUUGCAGGGGUACUCGAGUGGCGAACGGGUGAGUAACACGUGGGUGAUCUGCCCCGCACUUCGGGAUAAGCCUGGGAAACUGGGUCUAAUACCGGAUAGGACCACUUCUUGGAGGUUGUGGUGGAAAGUUUUUUCGGUGUGGGAUGAGCUCGCGGCCUAUCAGCUUGUUGGUGGGGUAAUGGCCUACCAAGGCGUCGACGGGUAGCCGGCCUGAGAGGGUGUACGGCCACAUUGGGACUGAGAUACNGCCCAGACUCCUACGGGAGGCAGCAGUGGGGAAUAUUGCACAAUGGGCGCAAGCCUGAUGCASCGACGCCGCGUGGGGGAUGACGGCCUUCGGKUUGUAAACUCCUUUCNCUANGGACGAA
rnacentral:rRNA from 1 species